rnacentral:rRNA from 1 species
ACAUCCAGCGAACUUGGCAGAGAUGCCUUGGUGCCUUCGGGAACGCUGAGACAGGUGCUGCAUGGCUGUCGUCAGCUCGUGUUGUGAAAUGUUGGGUUAAGUCCCGCAACGAGCGCAACCCUUAUCCUUUGUUGCCAGCGAUUCGGUCGGGAACUCAAAGGAGACUGCCGGUGAUAAACCGGAGGAAGGUGGGGAUGACGUCAAGUCAUCAUGGCCCUUACGAGUAGGGCUACACACGUGCUACAAUGGCGCAUACAAAGAGAAGCGACCUCGCGAGAGCAAGCGGACCUCAUAAAGUGCGUCGUAGUCCGGAUCGGAGUCUGCAACUCGACUCCGUGAAGUCGGAAUCGCUAGUAAUCGUGGAUCAGAAUGCCACGGUGAAUACGUUCCCGGGCCUUGUACACACCGCCCGUCACACCAUGGGAGUGGGUUGCAAAAGAAGUAGGUGGCUUAACCUUCGGGAGGGCGCUUACCACUUUGUGAUUCAUGACUGGGGUGAAGUCGUAACAAGGUAAGCGUAGCGAG